rnacentral:rRNA from 1 species
AGAGGGGGACAACAGUUGGAAACGACUGCUAAUACCGCAUAAGCCCACGGGUCGGCAUCGACCAGAGGGAAAAGGAGCAAUCCGCUUUGAGAUGGCCUCGCGUCCGAUUAGCUAGUUGGUGAGGUAACGGCCCACCAAGGCAACGAUCGGUAGCCGGACUGAGAGGUUGAACGGCCACAUUGGGACUGAGACACGGCCCAGACUCCUACGGGAGGCAGCAGUGGGGAAUAUUGCACAAUGGGGGAAACCCUGAUGCAGCGACGCCGCGUGGAGGAAGAAGGUCUUCGGAUUGUAAACUCCUGUUGUUGAGGAAGAUAAUGACGGUACUCAACAAGGAAGUGACGGCUAACUACGUGCCAGCAGCCGCGGUAAAACGUAGGUCACAAGCGUUGUCCGGAAUUACUGGGUGUAAAGGGAGCGCAGGCGGGAAGACAAGUUGGAAGUGAAAUCCAUGGGCUCAACCCAUGAACUGCUUUCAAAACUGUUUUUCUUGAGUAGUGCAGAGGUAGGCGGAAUUCCCGGUGUAGCGGUGGAAUGCGUAGAUAUCGGGAGGAACACCAGUGGCGAAGGCGGCCUACUGGGCACCAACUGACGCUGAGGCUCGAAAGUGUGGGUAGCAAACAGGAUUAGAUACCCUGGUAGUCCACACCGUAAACGA